UACGUAGGGGGCUAGCGUUGUCCGGAAUCAUUGGGCGUAAAGCGCGUGUAGGCGGCUCGAUAAGUCUGCUGUGAAAGUCCAAGGCUCAACCUUGGGAUGCCGGUGGAUACUGUCGAGCUCGAGUCCGGAAGAGGAGUGUGGAAUUCCUGGUGUAGCGGUGAAAUGCGCAGAUAUCAGGAGGAACACCAAUGGCGAAGGCAGCACUCUGGGACGUGACUGACGCUGAGACGCGAAAGCGUGGGGAGCAAACAGG
rnacentral:rRNA from 1 species